rnacentral:piRNA from 1 species
UGAGAGCCUCGUUCUGCCUGGAAUUGAAU